rnacentral:ncRNA from 1 species
GUAGAUAGAGGUUGCAUGUUUCAAGAGUAGGCAGACGGAUGCGCCAGACGCAGGGGAAGGCUGCCGAAAGGGGAAGAUGCCGAAAGGAGCGGAUUUCUGGGACCGGCUUCUUGGGCAUAAGGUGAAGAACCUUAUGACUGUCAUCGCAAGAUGGAGAGCUAUCUGA